rnacentral:rRNA from 1 species
GGCCUAUUGAGUAUAAUUUUAGGUCGAUCUGCUCCAUGAAAUAAAUUUAAAUAGCUGCAGUAUAUUGACUGUACAAAGGUAGCAUAAUAAAUUGUCUUUUAAUUGAAGAAUUGAAUGAAUGAAUUGAUGAAAUAACAACUGUCUCUAUUUUAUUUAAUGAAUUUAAGUUUUUAGUAAAAAUUCUGAAAUUUAAUUAUGGGACGAUAAGACCCUAUAGAAUUUUAUUUAAUAUAAUUAUUUAUUUAAAUUAUUUGUGAAUAUAUAAUUAAUUUAAAUUUGAUUGGGAGGAUUGGUAAAUAAAAAUAACUUUAUCUAAAAAUUAAUUUUGAUGAAAAGAUUUUUUUUGACUUAUAAUUUAUGAUUAAAAGAAUAAAUUACCUUAGGGAUAACAGCGUAAUAUCUUUUGAUAGACCACAUUGAUAAAGAUGUUUGCGACCUCGAUGUUGAAUUAAGAGAAAAGUUAAACGCAGGAGUUUAAAAUUUUAAGUCUGUUCGACUUUUAAAAUCUU